AUUGAACGCUGGCGGCAGGCCUAACACAUGCAAGUCGAACGAGUGGCGGACGGGUGAGUAAUGUAUGGGAACCUGCCUGAUUGAGGGGGAUAACUACUGGAAACGGUAGCUAAUACCGCAUAUCAUUGGAUGUGCCCAGAGGGGAUUAGCUGGUUGGGGGGGUAAAGGCUCACCAAGGCGACGAUCCGUAGCGGGUCUGAGAGGAUGAUCAGCCACACUGGGACUGAGACACGGCCCAGACUCCUACGGGAGGCAGCAGUGGGGAAUAUUGGACAAUGGGCGCAAGCCUGAUGCAGCCAUGCCGCGUGUAUGAAGAAGGCCUUCGGGUUGUAAAGGACUUUUAGCAGGGAAGCGUUACCUGCAGAAGAAGCACCGGCUAACUACGUGCCAGCAGCCGCGGUAAUAC
rnacentral:rRNA from 1 species